AAAUUUGGCUAUAUCGGUGAAACUCCUACUUGAUUUUCGGAUUAUCUUCGGGUAAUCUGAUAUUAAGGGACAAUACCGAGGGAACCUUCUCUAAAAGAAAGAAGGACUCCGUAGAGACUACACGCCAACC
rnacentral:autocatalytically_spliced_intron from 1 species